UGGGUGAUGCCGAGAAGGGUACGUGAUCUCCUCGCUUCUUGGAGAGGCAUUCGGGGCAACUCUCAAAUUGUAUCCAUAUGGAAGAUGGUACCAAUAUGUCUAUGGUGGUGCAUUUGGAGGAAGAGGAAUGCAAGAAGCUUUGAAGACCAAGAGUGGACAAUGGAUGC